GAGACCUGGAUCCUGCUCUUGUGUAUGUCAUUAUCUGACCAGGGAUGAUGAAUGAUUUCACUUUGUCCGGAUCCCAGCGUGUGUGUGUGUCGUGUGUGUGUGUGUGUGUGUGUGUGUGUUCUAAUCCUGCCUUCAAAAAUUAGAGUAUGGAUCAGCAAACCUGUUAAAGGAUGAAAUCAAUGAUUUAAAAGAAAAAAGUCCCCUCCAACUCUAACAUACUCUGCAUGAGCAGGUGGGGCUGAUGUUGGUGGUUCCAUGAAUGAGGACUGUGUCUUGUUCCAGUAAUAAUGAGGAGGAGCAU